UACGUAGGUGGCAAGCGUUGUCCGGAUUUACUGGGCGUAAAGGAUGCGUAGGCGGUCUGUCGCGUCUGCUGUGAAAACCCGAGGCUCAACCUCGGGCCUGCAGUGGGUACGGGCAGACUAGAGUGCGGUAGGGGAGAAUGGAAUUCCUGGUGUAGCGGUGGAAUGCGCAGAUAUCAGGAGGAACACCAAUAGCGAAGGCAGCUCGCUGGGACGUUACUGACACUGAGGCGCGAAAGCGUGGGGAGCGAACAGG
rnacentral:rRNA from 1 species